rnacentral:rRNA from 1 species
UGGGGAAUCUUGCGCAAUGGGGGAAACCCUGACGCAGCGACGCCGCGUGCGGGAUGAAGGCCUUCGGGUUGUAAACCGCUUUCAGCAGGGACGAGGCCUUAUGGUGACGGUACCUGCAGAAGAAGCUCCGGCUAAAUACGUGCCAGCAGCCGCGGUAAUACGUAUGGAGCAAGCGUUAUCCGGAUUCAUUGGGCGUAAAGCGCUCGUAGGGGGUCUGUUAGGUCGGCAAGUUAAAUCCGGGGGCUCAACCCCCGUCCGCUUCCGAUACCGGCAGACUUGAGUUUGGUAGGGGAAGGUGGAAUUCCUAGUGUAGCGGUGGAAUGCGCAGAUAUUAGGAAGAACACCGGUGGCGAAGGCGGCCUUCUGGGCCAUAACUGACGCUGAGGAGCGAAAGCUAGGGGAGCGAACAGG